AGUGAACGCUGGCGGUAGGCCUAACACAUGCAAGUCGAACGGCAGCACAGUACGUGCUUGCUAUUAGGGGUGGGGAGUGGCGGGAGGGAGAGGACUGAACCGGUCUCUACUUUUUGGUGAGGGCUGACAAAGGGGAAUUUACGCUGAUACCGCACACCAUCUGCGGGUGGGAGACCGGGAUCUUUCGCCCUAGAGCGAUUGCAUGGGCCGAUGUCGGUUUAGCUAGUUGGCGGGGUAAAGGCCUACCAAGGGGACGAUCCGUAGCUGGUCUGAGAGGAUGAACAGCCACACUGGGACUGAGACACGGCCCAGACUCCUACGGGAGGCAGCAGUGGGGAAUAUUGGACAAUGGGCGCAAGCCUGAUCCAGCCAUGCCGCGUGGGUGAAGAAGGCCUUCGGGUUGUAAAGCCCUUUUGUGGGGAAAGAAAAGCAUCGCGAUAAUACCCCCCUGUUCUGACGGUACCCAAAGAAUAAGCACCGGCUAACUACGUG
rnacentral:rRNA from 1 species